AUUGGCUGAAUAACAUAAUUGAAUCAAAUUAGUUUCAUCAGGCAGAUGACACGAGUUACCAUGUCUGAAGAAGAUACCCUCUGACAUAUUAUGAUUACAAUGAGUAGCAUUAUCAUGCGAAUGCGAUGACACUACCAAAGAUAUUCAACACAACAUACAGACAUUGGAUCGGAAUAUUUUUCAAACACACUGAAAAAUAUCCUCUAAUCUUUUCUGGUUCGUUGGAGAAAAACAAUUUUUAGCGUACCUACACGUCCCCUGUCAUCGUCAUAAUAUCGAAGAAAAAUAGCGAGGCAAGAAAAGAUACUCGUCGAACAAGGAUGUGUUGUAAUGUGCAAAAGUUGCGGAAUGUCCGCAGAAUAAUCC